AACGAACGCUGGCGGCAGGCUUAACACAUGCAAGUCGAACGCCCCGCAAGGGGAGUGGCAGACGGGUGAGUAACGCGUGGGAACGUACCCUUUGCUACGGAAUAGCUCCGGGAAACUGGAAUUAAUACCGUAUGUGCCCUACGGGGGAAAGAUUUAUGGGCAAAGGAUCGGCCCGCGUUGGAUUAGCUAGUUGGUGGGGUAAUGGCCUACCAAGGCGACGAUCCAUAGCUGGUCUGAGAGGAUGAUCAGCCACAUUGGGACUGAGACACGGCCCAAACUCCUACGGGAGGCAGCAGUGGGGAAUAUUGGACAAUGGGCGCAAGCCUGAUCCAGCCAUGCCGCGUGAGUGAUGAAGGCCUUAGGGUUGUAAAGCUCUUUCACCGGAGAAGAUAAUGACGGUAUCCGGAGAAGAAGCCCCGGCUAACUUCGUGCCAGCCGCCGCAGUAACAC
rnacentral:rRNA from 1 species